GCUGUCGUCAGCUCGUGUCGUGAGAUGUUGGGUUAAGUCCCGUAACGAGCGCAACCCUUGUCCUUAGUUACCAGCACGUUAUGGUGGGCACUCUAAGGAGACUGCCGGUGACAAACCGGAGGAAGGUGGGGAUGACGUCAAGUCAUCAUGGCCCUUACGGCCUGGGCUACACACGUGCUACAAUGGUCGGUACAGAGGGUUGCCAAGCCGCGAGGUGGAGCUAAUCCCACAAAACCGAUCGUAGUCCGGAUCGCAGUCUGCAACUCGACUGCGUNAAG
rnacentral:rRNA from 1 species